rnacentral:rRNA from 1 species
AUUCCUACGGGAGGCAGCAGUAAGGAAUCUUCCACAAUGGACGAAAGUCUGAUGGAGCAACACCGCGUGCAGGAUGACGGUCUUCGGAUUGUAAACUGCUUUUAUAUGGGAAGAUUAUGACGGUACCAUAUGAAUAAGGACCGGCUAACUACGUGCCAGCAGCCGCGGUAAUACGUAGGGUCCAAGCGUUAUCCGGAAUCACUGGGCGUAAAGCGUGCGUAGGUGGCGUGUUAAGUGUGGUGUUAAAUCGUGGGGCUCAACCCUAUCGAUGCAUCGCAUACUGGCAUGCUAGAGGGAAGCAGAGGCAAGUGGAAUUUGUAGUGUAGCAGUGAAAUGCGUAGAUAUUAUAAGGAACACCAAUGGCGAAGGCAGCUUGCUGGGCUUCUUCUGACACUGAGGUACGAAAGCGUGGGGAGCGAACAGGAUUAGAUACCCUGGUAGUCCACGCCGUAAACGAUGCAUACUAGUCUUAUGGGGUAUCGACCCCCUGUGAGACGCAGCUAACGCGAUAAGUAUGCCGCCUGGGAAGUACGGCCGCAAGGCUAAAACUCAAAGGAAUUGACGGGGACCCGCACAAGCAGGGGAUGAUGUGGUUUAAUAUGACGCUACGCGUAGAACCUUACCAAGGCUUGACAUCCUAGGGAUCUUUGAGAAAUCAGAGAGUGCCUUCGGGAGCCUAGUGACAGGUGCUGCAUGGCCGUCGUCAGCUCGUGUCGUGAGAUGUUGGGUUAAGUCCCGCAACGAGCGCAACCCUUAUCGUAUGUUGUAUUUUUCAUGCGAGACUGCCCGGGCCAACCGGGAGGAAGGUGGGGAUGACGUCAGGUCGGCAUGGCCCUUACGCCUUGGGCUACUCACGUCAUACAAUGGCCAGUACAACGCGCAGCGAAACCGCGAGGUGGAGCAAAUCGCAUCAAAACUGGUCUCAGUUCGGAUUGGAGGCUGCAACUCGCCUCCAUGAAGUCGGAUUUGCUAGUAAACGUGGGUCAGCAUACCACGUUGAAUACGUUCCCGGGCCUUGUACACACCGC